rnacentral:rRNA from 1 species
GCCCUAGUAACGGCGAGUGAAGCGGCAACAGCUCAAAUUUGAAAUCUGGCCCUCGGGUCCGAGUUGUAAUUUGUAGAGGAUGCUUUUGGUGCGGUGCCUUCCGAGUUCCCUGGAACGGGACGCCAUAGAGGGUGAGAGCCCCGUCUGGUCGGAUACCAAUCCUCUGUAAAGCUCCUUCGACGAGUCGAGUAGUUUGGGAAUGCUGCUCUAAAUGGGAGGUAUAUGUCUUCUAAAGCUAAAUAUUGGCCAGAGACCGAUAGCGCACAAGUAGAGUGAUCGAAAGAUGAAAAGCACUUUGAAAAGAGAGUUAAAAAGUACGUGAAAUUGUUGAAAGGGAAGCGCUUAUGACCAGACUUGGACUUGGUUGAUCAUCCUGGGUUCUCCCUGGUGCACUCUUCCAGUUCAGGCCAGCAUCAGUUUGCUUCGGGGGAUAAAGGUUUCGGGAAUGUGGCUCCCCCGGGAGUGUUAUAGCCCGUUGCGCAAUACCCUGGAGCAGACUGAGGUUCGCGCAUCUGCAAGGAUGCUGGCGUAAUGGUCAUCAGCGACCCGUCUUGAAACACGGACCAAGGAGUCGUCUUCGUAUGCGAGUGUUCGGGUGUUAAACCCCUACGCGUAAUGAAAGUGAACGCAGGUGAGAGCUUCGGCGCAUCAUCGACCGAUCCUGAUGUUCUCGGAUGGAUUUGAGUAAGAGCAUACGGGGCCGGACCCGAAAGAAGGUGAACUAUGCCUGUAUAGGGUGAAGCCAGAGGAAACUCUGGUGGAGGCUCGCAGCGGUUCUGACGUGCAAAUCGAUCGUCAAAUAUGGGCAUGGGGGCGAAAGACUAAUC